UUCAAGCAGUUCAUUAUUUACUUCUUCUUGCACAUUUUAUGGUGGAUUGUGUUACUUAUUUAUGGAACAUAAUUACUGUUUACUGUCUGCCACAGGACAGCUCCCAUAAAUGUAAGCGUCCAAAAAACUUUGGGACAAAUAGAGAGAAAGAGCAAGGAACAAUAUGGUUUUGCAUUUUCUAGACGGAGAGAGCUUCGCGACAAACUUCAACUAGAAAGAGAUGCCGAUCUCGCUUGUGUUUUACUCGACGGAUGAACACUGGCACUCGUUCUGGAAAUGCUGACUCAUGAUUUUACAGCUCUGCACGGAGGCUGGCGUCAUGCCUGGCAACGAGCUGUCAGAAUGACACUUCCUUCCAACGUGUGACCAGCAAAGCCACAUGCAGAUAUGACAGGAUUUGCAAAUGCCCAGGGUGACUGACAGAGAGAAUUGGCAAUAGACCAAGCGGAAGAUGCAAGGGCAUUUUUGUUACUGGGUUGUUGUGGUGAAAGACAAACAGAAAGAAGAAGAAGAAGAAGAAGAAGAAGAAGAAGAAGAAGAAGAAGAAGAAGAAGAAGAAGAAGAAGUCAUAUCUGCCUCACAUUCUCCAUUAACACAGAUUCAUACUUCAAUGGUAUACUGUUUUCUGCCAAAAAAUAAAAAUUAAAUUUAGUUAGAGAGAAGAUUUUUCUUUAGCAGACUAAUUUACUUAAUUAGCCAUGAUACCCCUUGAUGCAUUCAAAAGUAUGGAAAAACAAAGUAUGUUUCAAAUUUGUUUAAUUAUGAUAAUUAGUAAUUAUAGGAAAUGACAAUCAGUGGAAUUAGUUAAGUGUUAGAGAGAGAGUUAUUUAGUUAUUAAAAGAUUAGCA